CAUCGGCUGCGGCGCAUCUCUAUUGCAGCAGGCGCCGGUGGAUAUAGUAAUUGUAAAGGAACAUUACGAUAGGAUUAGCCGAAAUUCAGUGACAAGAUGACUACGUUGCGACCCUUCACAUGUGACGACCUCUUCAAGUUCAACAAUGUAAACUUUGACCCACUUACGGAGACCUACGGGCUGUCCUUCUACACCCAGUACCUAGCCAAGUGGCCGGAGUACUUUCAACUUGCGGAGUCGCCCAGCGGACAAAUAAUGGGGUACAUCAUGGGCAAGGUAGAAGGACACUUGGACAACUGGCACGGACACGUUACAGCGCUGACCGUCUCGCCCGACUACCGGCGAUUGGGUCUGGCUGCGCUGCUCAUGAGUUUCCUGGAGGACAUUUCUGAGAAAAAGCGGGCAUACUUUGUGGAUCUGUUUGUGAGGAAGAGCAACCAGGUGGCGAUAAACAUGUACACGAAUCUCGGCUACAUCAUAUACCGCACCAUACUGGAGUACUACUCAGGCGACCAGGACGAGGAUGCGUACGACAUGAGAAAGGCCUUAUCCAGAGAUGUGAACAAGAAGUCGGUCAUACCGUACACGCAGCCUGUACGACUGGAAGAUAUAGAUAUGAAUUGAUACGAUAUCAACCCAGUAGCGCCCGAAAUCGCAUUUAUGUCUAACUGAUCCCGAUCCACCAUUUUCAGCCGGCGCGAGCGCAUCACUUCGCAGCCCAUUGAAUUCUAGUUAAUUUAGAUAUGUAAAUAAUCCGUAAUCCCAUGAUCUGCUCGGUGAUAACAUGCCAUUCAAACCUAACCGGAUUCCCGCUUGCGAACCAACUCCCCGGCAAUAUUUGCGUGUUCAUCCCAUCCAAAAAUAAGCCUGUAAUUAAGUACAUGUCUGCCCCGUUACCAAAUUCAGUUCAUAUUCUCGAUAAUUCUUUUGACAUUGAAAUUAUUUAAAGAUUUCUUAAGCCGAUGCGUAAAUAACCGUAACUCAAAGAUUGUUCCACCGUUCUGAAGAUCACAAUGCGUGAGCUGCGCAGACAAAUGCGACACGAUCACUAAGUAGGACGAUCCCCGGUGGAUGUAGGCAUAGCCAUCGCAAUCCCAGAUGUACUUUAUCGG
rnacentral:misc_RNA from 1 species